GGUCCUGUAGCUCAGUCGGCAGAGCAUACGCCUGAAAAGCGUAGGGUCACCGGAUCGACGCCGGUCAGGACCACC
rnacentral:tRNA from 1 species